GUUCCGGGCUGCGGGCGGAGGCCGCAGGUGUCUUCCUGCUCCGCUUCCGGGUUGCGGCCGUCGGCGGCCAUGGCGGGGCAGUUCCGCACCGUCGGUAUAUUCGGCGGCUUCGUGGCCGUGGUGGUGGCGGCUUUUUACCCCAUCUACUUUCGGCCGCUGCUGCUGCCGGAGGAGUACAGCACACAUGUUGAGGAAGAAGACUUUUCUGCACAAUUCUCCCACAUCUUCAGAGGAGUCCCUAGCAGUUUAGCAAAUAAAGUGGAAGAAACUUGGAAAAACUAGAAACAACAGUCAUUAAACCGAGCUGGUGUUGUUCAAGAGGAUAUUCAGCCUGCAGUCUAGUUAUGAACUGCUGGUAUUCUCUGAUUUGUAGGGUUAAAAGUGUGGUCUGAUCCAUUUGGAAGAAAGUAAUGUUGACGGCUGGGUGUAUUGCAAGGCAAAACUGAAGAUGGACAUCUUCAGCUGUUUCUUCUUUCACUGAAGUGUGUCUUUGGGUGUCGCUGGAGAAGAAUUCUGAAUAUGCUGUGUGGGCACAUGAGGAGCAACAAAGGCUACUGGUUGGAAUCCCAAGAGAUAAAAACAUGCUAGUUUUGACAGAGGAUGCUGGGGCAUAGUGCACAGACUGUUAGAGCACUGAAUGAUCCUUGAGUUUAGAAGUGAAAUAUUUAUUUCCUUGGGAAAAGGGAAGAGAAAUAAUUAUUUUUUUUGUUAAUUUGUAAACACUUCUAGAAUAAGAUAUGAAUAGAAUAAAUCAUGCAGACCACUGCAGUUUCCUCCCUAGCUUGAGAAUUACAUUUUGUUGUUUUGUUAUGAAAAUAUGAUGGAAGUAUAUACCGAGAGAGAUCAGUGCAGAAAAUAUAAAACGGUGAGUGUAAAUUUGUACAUUAAAAUUUCUUCCUUUUAAA